UGGGGAAUAUUGCACAAUGGGCGAAAGCCUGAUGCAGCAACGCCGCGUGAGUGAUGAAGGCCUUCGGGUUGUAAAGCUCUGUCUUUUGGGACGAUAAUGACGGUACCAAAGGAGGAAGCCACGGCUAACUACGUGCCAGCAGCCGCGGUAAUACGUAGGUGGCAAGCGUUGUCCGGAUUUACUGGGCGUAAAGGAUGCGUAGGCGGAUUUUUAAGUGAGAUGUGAAAACCCUAAGCUUAACUUGGGGACUGCAUUUCAUACUGGAAAUCUAGAGUGCGGGAGAGGAGAAUGGAAUUCCUAGUGUAGCGGUGAAAUGCGUAGAGAUUAGGAAGAACACCAGUGGCGAAGGCGAUUCUCUGGACCGUAACUGACGCUGAGGCAUGAAAGCGUGGGUNGCAAACAGGAUUAGAUACCCUGGUAGUCCACGCCGUAAACGAUGAGUACUAGGUGUAGGAGGUAUCGACCCCUUCUGUGCCGCAGUUAACACAAUAAGUACUCCGCCUGGGAAGUACGAUCGCAAGAUUAAAAC
rnacentral:rRNA from 1 species